GUUUGUCGUGGUCACGUGACCUGGGUGUUUUCAACCGCACUUUGGAGCAGCGUUUCGAAACAUCUGUGCCUCGGUGGCUCAAUACGGUAUCGAAACUUCAAUAUUGAGCUUCCCGUCGGCAGUACAUAACGGUUUUGAAACUCUUUAUUCAGGCUUGGACGUGCGCAUGCGUAGGAGGGUUUUACAUGUUGGAUCGAAGCACGCGCUUGUGAGUCCUCGUUACACACAAAUCAUUGUACACGUUUGUAAAUCAUCAUAUCGUCAUGUCGUACUCGUUCGUAACACUUAUCUUUAUCUCCAAAUAAACUUGAGUAACAGGUUAACUCAACCACAAGAGCGAACUAGUGACGGAAAGAAUAAUCGUCCGUCAUGAGCGCGUUCAUAGUGAAACGUUACUAUUUCCUGUUGUGAUCAACGUUUCCUUAUCGAAUUAACUUAUGAACGCAAAACCGUUUUGAAGAAGCGUUUGAAUAGAGGACAAAAUUAACAUAUGCCACCUAUUUUAUUAUUUGUGCUGGAUAAAUUAGCAAAUUUCCACUCUUUGGCUUCUAAUUGUGCAAUAUUUGACUUGUUUAUCGACUGAACGAGUCAAGUGUAGCCCCUGCCUUUUUUUCCUUCUUUUUUUUUGUCUUAACAGGAAGGAAUUGUGCCCGGGAUUGUUUUAGGACUGCUCUGACAUUCAAAGUGUAGAGGUGUACAUGUCUGUAGAUGAUUGUCUCUUCCUGCUUUGGGUGUGUCUACUACCUCCCGGGUUACAGUACACAUCCACGGUCCCAGUGCUUGAACACAUGGCAUGACAGCAGGUCAUUAGCGCUGUCCGCGAUAUUUGGGAGAAGUAAAGUGAAAGUGUGAAGAUGGCAAAUACACCAGCCCUGUCCACCUCCGAAGGUGGAGAAGCAGAUGCAGGGAGUAAAACCAGUGAUUCCUUCUCAUUUUUGGAUGUCCUCCAUGCCAAUCAGUUUGAAGGAGAGUUUGUUGAACCUCAACACGCUGAGCAAGUGGAGGAAAACUUUUACAGAGGGGCCCCACCGAACUGGUUAAACUUCUAUAUCAGUGAACAAGCAGUGUCAGAUGGCACUGCAACUCCUUUUAUCAAACGAGAUGGAUAUGAAACCCUGAAGGAUCAAAUUCACCUGAGAAGAAAAGGCCCUGGGACAUCAACAAUUAAACUGUUUCAUCAACAAGGAUGUGGGGGAACCACGCUGGCUAUGCAGGUGCUGUGGGACUUGAGGAAAACCUUCAGAUGUGCUGUUUUGACAGGCUCAACAUUAGAUAUCACAAAAGUUGCGCAAGAUGUGGUCAGCCUUUUUACAGCAGGCAGCCAUGGCCACCAGAAAACUGUGCUGUUGUUACUAAAUGAUGAGUUCAUAUUGGAAAUCCUCCAGGACAGGAUUAUGGAAGAGAUUGCUGAACAGGAUAUAGAAAUUGAUGUGCCUGUGGUAAUUUUACUGAACUGUGUGAGAAGCAGUGACGGGAUUAUCCACCAAAAGGAGCAUUUUUAUGAACUGAGACAAAAAUUCAAGAGGAAAAUGAGAAAAUCCAUCAUUCUCAAAAAAACUCUCUCAGCCAGAGAGCAAGCAGACUUUGAUAUGAAAAAAGAAGAGCUUAGCAGAAGAUUUGGUGAUCGAUGCAAGCAGUUUCAUGGUUUUAACAUUCUGCAGUCUAAUUUCUCUGAAGGCUACAUCAGGAAAGCAUGUGCUACAUUUGAACAUAUCAAAAGAACAAAUAAACCACUGAAGACACAGCUUGCUGCCUUCCUGUGUCUGCUGAACGCCUAUGCACCAGGUUCAUAUCUCCUGGAGUCUCAGUGCCUGGACUUCCUCAGAAGAGACAAGUUUGGUCACCUUUCACUGGAGGAUCAAAUGCAGCCUUUCAGUCAUCUGAUCAUCACCUUCCAACAAGGUGAAAGAUCUGAAAAAAAGGUCUGCAUGGCUCACAAUAUGAUAGCGCAAUAUUGUACUGAACUGUUGGCAAAUGCGGGUGUGACCAGAAGUGACACAACAAGACACUUCUUGAACAGUUUUUGCAGAAGUUACGUUCCUCCAUAUUUACUCGGGUUUAUCAAAGACAUGCUAAAUAAAAGAGAAAUUACGGUAAUAGAGGACCCAACUGAUGGCAUUAAACAAUGGAAAGAAAAGUUUUCCAGACUGAUUCAAGAUAUUACAAAGAGAGAAGAUGAGGGCAACAGUCUGUCAGUUUUGAUAAUGGCCUCAAAAAAGUUUUAUGAAGUUUCACUUUUUCCACAGACUCUUGCUCGUUUUUAUUAUAUUCAACUAAGAGACUACUACAAUGCAGAAAUUUGGGCAAAAGAAGCAAAGCGGAGAGCUCCUUGGAGUUCAUUUGUUGCAGAUACACUAGGCCAAGUCCACAAGAGCCACCUAAAGAAUAUGCCCGCUUAUACCAGACCAAGCGAAAUUUUGCAGCUGGCACAAAAAGCCAUUGAAGCUUUUGAAGAUGAAGAAAAACUUGCUAAAAAUGAACAUGCAAAGGGUAAACAAGGAGAUGUGAAUAUAAAAGUCUUGCGUGCUUUAAACACCAGAGGGCUGUUUGGUUAUCUGGAAGUUUGCAGCCUGUUGUAUGACCAUCUUAUCAGACAUGAUGAACUUUGGAAGCAAGUUCUCACAAGAACCGUGUCACUGGACUCUGUCCUGCAAUCCACUGAAGAUUGGAACAUUGUCAGGUUUAAGGAGCUAAUAAACAGCCUCAGAGAUUUGGUUGAGAAAAGAUUUGAAUUUUUUGACACGUUUUUAACGUAUUCAUAUUCUAUUGUAAAGAAUGAAGAUCCAGUCUACAUUUCCAGAAAGACAGCAGAAUGCUACAAAAAGUAUGUUGGAGAUGCUGAACCAAAUGAUCAACUCCAGAAAGCCUUCCACAAACUUAAACAAAAACUGGCUGUCACUUCUCCGGGAGUACUUUCAUGUCUUGAAAGAUGCACUAGAUCAGACACCAAGGACAUUGCUGUAUGGUGGAAAGAAAUCUGUCAACACGAAUACUCUACUAGACAUGCCUUACUCAACUACAUUCUGGCCAAUAUCAUGCUGAUAAAUAUGAAAGAACCUCCCUCCAGCUCCGACUACCAAAGCAGCUUUACAGAGAAAAUGCCACUGGCUCCUGAGAUGCAGCCCGAGUUUCACAUGUUAGCCCUGCUGUUGUGUUGGCCUACAGAUGGUGAAGACAAUUUGGCCUCUGACCUCCCUCAUUUAAUCCAAAAUAUUCUGCAUUCCUAUGAACAAGAAUAUAAGUCACUCUUUCAGUCGAGGUACCUUCGACCCCUAUUUUUUCUUGGACCGGGUCAGGGUCUGAACAGAUUUGUUCACAGACGCAACCUUGAGAUCUUGUGGACCCAAGAUGCACUGAAAGCCUCAAACACAAACUGGAGGGACGACGAUAUUUUCACUGAUCCGACAGUCCAAGGCAAACUCCUCAGAAUUGAAGGUAUAGUGCAAGAUUACAGGCUGUAUGCAACAUUUGGCGACACAGAGAUCGAGUUAGAUGCCAACCGAAAAGACAGCCUCUGGAAAUCAGGCCAUGUGUUCUUUUAUCUUGGAUUUACAAUCGGAGGUCCUGUUGCUUACAACGUUCACAGAGCUGAGGAACCAUCAGAGAGACCUCUGGAGACUUUUGACAAUGAAACAGACUGCAGUCAGUGGACGGAGCUGAAACCUGAAGUUGAGAUAAUGGAGGAGGUUCAUACUUACAGCCUGCAGUCUGAAAGUGGCAACUAUGAAUGCAGCGAGUCUGCCUUGCGGUGGGUUUGUAAGGAAACGGUCAGCUUCAGAUACCAGUUUAGCUCAUGGGAGCGAUUCAUGAGGAAACCUGUAUGCAUGGACUACAUACCAGCAGGACCCCUAAUGGACAUCAAAGUCACAGAUGGAAAGCUAGAGGAAGUCCGUCUGCCGCACUGGAUCUGUACAGGUGAAAAUGCAGCGAUGUCAGACAUAUUUCGAGUUCUGCAUGUGGACAGCAGUGGAGAUUAUUUGGAGCAAGUGUCUGAAAUGACAUCAUCCCAUGUGAAGUUAAACCAGCCGGAUUUCUCUCUAAGAGGAGCCAUGAUCCUAAAGAAACUGGGCCUGUAUCUAAAAGUUUUUGCAGACGUGUUGAUAUACACAAGAAUCACAUCUGGCCUCACUCUGCACGUUUACCUGGUUCCACACGAUCCUCUAAUACAACAGGAAGUGGAGAAGAAGGAGAAAUCCGACGGAUUCAGAAAAAUCAGAAAGACAAGUCCUAUUGACCCUGUACAGCUGGAGAGUUAUUUCUACCUCUCAACAGACUGGGACACAGCAGAAAUCUGCCCUGAGAAACAGCAGUUCAUGUUGGAGAGGAGCGACACUAAUUUCUUUGAGGUGGUCAUUGGAAAUGUGAAAAGUGACUUUGGAAACUUGAAACUGACACUUGAAGUUGAGCACAGGGGAGGAAAGGAAAAGGACACCGUCUGGACGUGCACUGUCGGAACAGAUGACUAUUAAACACAAGCAUUCACCAAGAACAGGGAUUUGGUGGUUCGCCAUUGGACAGCUCUGAUUGGCAGAGCGAGUGAGGCAGCAGCUGUUGUAGACGAGCUUCAGGAAAAGGAUGUGAUCUCUGAGGACAAACAUGAUGCUGUGAGAAGUUUAAAUGCAACAUGAGACCAAAUGAGAGAGAUUGUUUAGUCUAUGACGCUGACACAACAGAGGCAGAGACGUCCUCUAUGAAAUCCUGAGAGGGAUGAAGUCUCUGAGGUUUCUCAUGUAUGAGCUUGAGGGAUCUCAGUGAAAGAACAUGACUGCUUAUAAAAUGGAGCCGAUCUGUACAUUUGAUUAACGUGCGGCGUUCUCCGUACCUUCUGUGUAAGAAUAUGAUGUGAAAGAAUGUGAAUACUGAAAUCAAAUGAUUAAACCUAAUUUUAUCUAGUUAGUGGCAUAAAAAUUAAGGGUUAAAUCUGUUGUUUAAGGUAUAUAAACCUAUGAACAUUGCAGAAUUUUGUUUUCGCAACCAAAUAAUUGUUUGGGUUUUUUUCAAGUUUAAAAAAUGCCUUUUUUAAUAAUAUUUUACCUUUUUUUGUCUUUGUAAUUUUAUGUGUUUUAUGUUUUCUACAAGAUGGGAAAUGGAAGUUAAUCUUUAUUCAGAAGAACAGGACACUUAUAAGCUGAAGAUGGCAAACACACCAGCCCUGUCCACUGCUAAAGGUGGGGAAGUAUGUGUGGGGAGUGAAUUCCGAGAUUCCUGCACAAUGUUGGAUAUCUUCCAUGCAAAUCAGUUUGAAGGAGAAAUUUUUGAUCCAGUACUCACUGGGAAGACAGAAGAGAAUUUUUACAGAGGGGCCCCACCUCAGUGGUUAAACUUCUACAUCAGUGACCAGGCAGAGUCCCUUGGGACUGGAACUGCUUUAAUCAAAAGACAUGGAUACACAGAAGUUAGGAAACAAAUAGAGAAUUAAAAAAAAUCCAGGGAUAUCAGCUGUAAAACUGUCACACCAACCAGGAAGUGGAGGAACUACAAUGGCCAUGCAGGUGAUGUGGGACUUGAGAAAAACCUUCAGGUGUGCUGUUUUAACUGGCUCCACCUCAGACAUGGCAAAGGUUGCAAAAGAGCUUGUCCACCUUUUCACAGCAGGAAGUCGAAACAACCAGAACACUGUGCUGUUGUUAGUGGAUGAUGAGAAAAUCCUGGAAGAUCUCCAGAGCAGCAUUAUGAUGACAGCUGCUGAGCAGAAGAUAGUUACUCGUAUGCCUGAAAAACAAUGCACCUCAACAAAGUGAUCAAGUUGUCCUAAAGAACACACUCUCAGACAAUGAGAAGGAAAUACUCAAUGAGAUGGAAGCAUUCAAUGAGAAAAAGAAAGAGCUUCAAAGCAGGUACAAAGAUAAAUGUGAAGAGUUUCAUGGUUUUAACAUAAUGCAAAGUAAUUUCUCUCAGGACUACGUCAGGGAGGCAUGUGCUGCUUUAGAAAACAGCAAAAAAAAGAAAUAAACCUCAGAAGACACAGCUUGCUGCCGUCCUAUCCCUGCUGAACGCCUUCGUACCAGGGUCAUAUCUCCUGGACUUCCUCAGACAUGAAGACUACGAUGACCUUUCACUGGAGGAUCAAAUGCAGCCUUUCAGUCAUCUCAUCAUCACCUUCCAACAAGAUGGAAGAGCUGAAGCACCCCCAAAAAUGGGCUAAAAUCGCCCCUGGAAUUCAUCCAGAUGUUUCAGGAUACAAACCUAGAUGACCAGUCUGUGGGAAUACUGUCAUUUCUUGUCAAACAAUACACUCAAUCAGAGCUCGAAGUCAUAUCUACAAAGCAUAGAGAAAUGUGUCCAAGUGCAGAUUCAGAAACAGCUCUGGUCAACAACAUCCUCACACUAUUUAGAGGGAAAAUGCCAUCGAGCAAAAAAGACCCACCUGAGCUGCACAUGUUCACCCUCCUCUGGUACUGGCCUGUAAAUGAAGGCCAAUGUGAUUAUGACCUCAGUGAGUUAGCUCAGAAAAUGCUCAAGUGUUAUGAAAAUACAUAUAAGAAGUACUUUCAAAACAGAUACCUUCUUCCUGUGUUUUUCAUUGGGAAAGGUGAAGGUGUGAAGAGAAUUGUUCACAGAAAUGUUAUUGAGAAACAUCUGAAAGUGAGACCGGAUUGGAGCAAUAACUGGAAAAAUGAAAAGAGCUUCAGAAAUCCUGCUGUUCAAGAGCUCCUUAGAGCUUGUCUGGCAUAUACUAAAUUUAUCCAAAAUAUAUGAAAAACUUCCAAGUACACACAUGUUUGAUAAGACGAUGCUUGAUGUUUAAGAAAAAAAAACAUUUACAAUAUAAGAAGAGAUUUAAAGAAUUAAAUAAUACUAUCUGGAAAGUAAAGGAGGGCUUUAUUAUCCAAUGGUGACAAAAAAACCCCCUUAAAACUUAAGGGUUUUUUUUUGUUACUGUUGUAACUGUUCACAUUCACUUAAGGCUUAAGUGAAUGUGAACAGUUACAACAGUCAUAACUGACCUGAACAGUGUGUGUAAGUAAAAACCUCAAGUCACAAUCUACUUCUGCUCUUUUUUAUUUGGAAAAUGAAAAUUAAAAAAAAGUUUACAAUGACAGAUCGUGCAGAAGAACUGAGCUACAGAAUUCAGUAAGGCUAUCUGACAAUUAGACUCCAUUGACCCAUCAUAGAAGAAUGAGAUCCCAGUAGUGAGAGGAGAGCAAAGCACCCCCUGGAGUCUAGAUGCUGGUGGUAGUCUAGAUGAAGAUGAGGAGGAGGUGGGUUGCAUGAAUGACAGUCUGAAAGACAGAAUGACAGAAGACCACUGAGAUUUUAAACACAGAGAGCAGAAGGCAGGCAAGAAAAUGAUUGGACCAGAGUAAUGAUGUCAGCACUGAGUUUGCACCCCGAUGAGUGAUUACAGAUGUUCCUUACUGAACUUACACAUGAGCCUCAUUUUUACUGAGGACCAGAAAUAUGUGGAGCUCAACUCCCAGCAUGCUGGGUGAGGACUGUGUGAUAAGGGUAACGUUUUGCCACUGCACUCACAGAUGUGGACAUUAUUCCUGGAGCAGUUACACAGGUCAGAGUUGCUAAAACAUCAGAAAUACCUGAAAGGUUUCUUAUUAAAUAAACCUGUUGUUGGUUCACUGUAAAUGUGGUCACAUCCUGCCCUCUGGAGCCUACAUCAAAAACACUACUUUAAUGUCAUAAAUGAAACAUUCUCUAAUCCAACAGAGCCGCUGGUCCAUUGAGUGGAUGUCACGCUUUGACUCUCCUUCUAUGCAACGUAGGAUUAAGCUGUAUGGCUGAUAUGUAUUUAGGUGUAAAUGUGUUAGUAAUGUUUCUUUAAAAGUUGGCUCUGACUGUUUUCAUGACGCUUUAAACAAAUUUUUAACCUCUGCUGGUACUGAAAACUACUGCAACUUAAGCAUGGACGUUAAUUUGAUACCUGUAGACGAGGCAAAGCAUAACAUCCACACAAUAGACCAGCUGGUCUAUUAUACAAUUUGCUGUGAUAUCAGGUUGCAUUUUCUUUAUGAGGCACUAUAUUCACAAUCCCCCUUGAAUUCCUAAGGUUUUUGAAGUUUCACUUUUUCCACAAACUCUUGCUCAUUUUUAUUAUAUUGAACUAGAAGACUACUGCAACACAGAAAUUGGUUAAAGGAAGCAAAGCGGAGGGCUCCUUGAAGUUCAUUUGUUGCGGAUACACUAGGCCAAGUCCAUAAGAGCCACCUGGAGAACACAACCAUUUCUGCCAGACCAAGAGUAGUUUGCAACUUGCCCAGAAGGGGAUUGAAGCUUUUGAAGAUGAUCUGGAAGUCUGCAGCCUGUGGUAUGACCAUCUUAUCAGACAAUGAACAACAAUGAACUUUGGAAGAAAGUUCUCACCAAAACCGUGGGACUGGACACUGUCCUGAAAUCCCCCAGAGAUGAGAAACUGUUCAUGUUUAUGGAGCUAAUAAACAGCCUCAGAGAUA